rnacentral:sRNA from 1 species
UUCUAGCCCCGAUUGAAGCAAUUGUUUGAGCUCUUUUUUGUUUUUUUUAAAACAAAAAAAGCGAGUGCGGAAAGCGGGAAAUAGC